rnacentral:rRNA from 1 species
UAACGCGUGAGUAACCUGCCCUGGAGUGGGGGGACCAACAGUUUGGAAACGACUGCUAAUACCGCAUAAGCCCACGGCCCGGCAUCGGGCUGAGGGAAAAGGAUUUAUUCGCUUCAGGAUGGACUCGCGUCCAAUUAGCUAGUUGGUGAGGUAACGGCCCACCAAGGCGACGAUUGGUAGCCGGACUGAGAGGUUUGAACGGCCACAUUGGGACUGAGACACGGCCCAGACUCCUACGGGAGGCAGCAGUGGGGGAUAUUGCACAAUGGGGGAAACCCUGAUGCAGCGACGCCGCGUGGAGGAAGAAGGUUUUCGGAUUGUAAACUCCUGUCGUUAGGGACGAUAAUGACGGUACCUAACAAGAAAGCACCGGCUAACUACGUG